GAUAUAUUUAAUCCGGUGGCGCCCGAUAUGUACUUUUCGUGAGGCGAUUUAUUUAUGGGCGGAGAACCGAACGUGGCUCAAAUGCGAGUUACAAGGUGAACAUUAAUAUAAUUACUAAGGUGUUUAUAAGAAAUACCAUAAUGCGAGCUUAAAACGUAUUCGAACAAUUUAUUCCAUUAUAUAAUCAUGUAUAACCUAUACAUUUACACGCGCAUACACGUUCACGGUGAUUCACUAAGUGUGCUCAAGCCAUUUUUAUUUUUAUUUUUUUUUUUGUCUUGGUUAAAUUAUGCAUACAUUCAAAUUCUGAUUUUUGGGAUUUUUAAGUGUGUUUAAAGUCGAUGUGUUUUCGAAUACUUCGAUAACAAUUUCCCAACAAUUAAGGAGUGGCGAUCCAGUGGCGAUACCAACUUUGAUUUUUCAAAUGAGCAUCUAUAUUGAAAACGCCGUAUAUUGACGGAGUAUUGUCAAAAUUGUUGAUUUCUGUCAACCCGUUGACGAAAUAUUUCGUUCGUAAGUUUAGGUAGUGGAGCACUACUAAAAACACAGGAUACUCCUUACACGUUGUGAAAAAUCUAAGUAUUCGAAAAUAUCGGCUUAAACUAUAUACGUACGUUUAAAAAUUUCAAAAAUCAGAAUUUGAAUUUGUGCAAAAUUUAACCGAAACAUGUGAGUGAGCGCGCUUAGUGAAUCUUUUGAUUCUUAUCGAAUUUCAAUAAUCAAUAAACGAAUCUUCGAGAGUAUAUAUAGAAGAGAGAGAGAGAGAGAGUAUCUUGAAAAAACAAUAAAAAACAUACAAGAUACAAUAGGCGCAAACAAUGAACAAAAAAAAUAAAUACUGCACGAAAAGAUACAUAGAUACAAAUGCGCACCGAAGUUAUUGCCCGUCCCUGCUGGUUAUCGAGAUAAGACUUUACCAUUAUUAUUAUUAUUGUUUACUCGAACAAGUCUCGGUGUUCGAUUAGGUAUUUUCUAUGGAAAAAAAAAAAAAAAUAGUAAGAUUAUUAUUAUUUUUUUUUUUUUUCUUAUACGUGUGUAUACAACUACUGUAUUCUAUAAUAACAUUACGUUAUAUUAUAAUGUAAUGUACGUGUAUUAUUAUUAUUAUUAUUAUAUAGGACCGAAUACGGUAUACUUUGUAUAGUAAUGAUAAUAUUAUUGCUAUUACGUUUAUCGCGUUUCGCCGUUCUCCGCCGCCGCCGCCGCCGCCGCCGCGCCGUACAAGGCCACCGCUGCGGAGAUAAGCGCGAGAAUUAUUAUUUGACGUUAUUAAAUGCUUGUACAAGAACGCGCGCGUGACGGCUUUUAAACUUUUUUUUCGUAUCGGCCCGACCUAUAACCUACAAAAAGAGAUAACAUUACGGGGCGGUAAACGCGGUGCGGGGGAUUGGCGAUGGGGGGGGGAGGAGGACGGGGGAAAAAAAAAAUCGUAUAACGGCGCGUUAUAAACACCGAAAAUAUCCGCGUUUAAAACAAUUAUCUAUUAUUGUUCCGUACCCGCAGGCGUCGUUUCGGUCGGAAUACCGGGGCAACAACAAUAAAGAAAAAAUAAUCUACGAUAAAAACCAUUCUUAUUUAUUUUUCGAAAGUGAAACGGAAAAAAAAAAAAAUGCGCGGCGUAACGGUUCGCUCGCCGUUAUCCGUGAUCCUAAUCGUUAGCACAUUGUAACAUUCCGAAUGCGGUUGAUUUCGUGGCGUUGCGACAUGGCCGUCGACGUUUACCGCCGGAUUUCAAAACUCAAAAUCUCAAUAAAAACUGCGCGUUUCGCGUACGGUCGAACACUUGACCGCGGACCGGCGUUGCCGAACGUACGCCGCGGUGAGUUCUUAUUUCGUAAUCCGUUGUGCGGCGGUUAAAGACGUUUUGCAGAGAUCGCUCGCAACAGAACAAAACAACUAAAUCUGCCGAACUUGUUCGCAAAAUGUAUUCGUUUGUGUACGCCGACAAUCGAAAAUUGUUUCGGUCUAAAUGCGCUUUGUUUCGUACUACAAGUCACGACUAAUUACUGCGUUCGCUAUUUACUGUGUAUGUAAACGAAUCGUUUUCGCCGAGGCUUGCAAUCGCAAUAGAUUUCGACUUUUGAGAGACCGCAGGACACUUUUCGGCGAAUGUCCACUGCGUGCCCCCGCUCUUCUGUCCCGAGAAAACAAAAAAAAAACACACCGAACCUCCCCCAGUCACUCUUCCGCCGAGAGUAAUUUUCACCGUAAAACAGAAUAUCUCGUUGCAAUAUCUCGCUCUGCUUUACGGCGUCGGAAAAUACAUUUUUUAUUUUUUUUUUUAAACGCCCUGCCGGCCAUCAGAGAAAAUCGACCGCCGCCUUUUCCGCUUCUCUCCUCGCCGUCCGACGGACAGAUAAAUAUUAAUCCGGACAGAUAAUCUACAUAACAACAAUGAUUACCGAGCGUUCGCGUUUGUAGUUUCGAACGCACGGCGGCGUUGUCCCGCGUUUGUAUGCUGCGGUUUUUUUUUUUUUUUUUUAGAUUGACGCGCGCGUUUAUAAUUAUUUCGUCGAUCGUAUUUUUCCCAAACGUAUUCCGGCCGGCGCGCACAUGGCCGAACGUCAGAAAUUAAUAGCGUGUAGCCGCGGCCGCGUAUUUUGAUGAAUCGCACAUCGACUACCGGAAUUAUUGUGCUGUUCGUUCAUAAAAAAAAAAACCUAUGCUAUUGAUUUACGACAGGUAAGUACGCGGCGUAACCGCCUCCGCGUUCGACGAGGUUUUUUUCAACCGUCUUUCCGCUAUGUGUACGCCGUUAUUAUCGUACGGCCGCGGCGCAGCACAGAAGCGGUUUAUUUUUAUAAUUUUUCAUUUUUUCGUAAGUCAUUAAUGAAAAAAAAAAAAAAAAAAAACGAGCCCGGACUUGUGCGCCGUGAAACGAGAUAAUACUAUCGGGGUCCCACCUAUAUACGCGUCUACGACCGCACCGACGGGUCCGCGGCCGGCGUAACGACAGCGGAUACCUCCGCGCCGCCGUGCCGGUAAUUAUACCCGCCGCACGUAGCCGCGACGGAUGUUAAUAAACCGGAGGUAAUUAAUUCCGGGCGGCGCGAGCGCACACGCCGGCCGGCACCGUGUCUCGCAGCGCUGCGCCGCCGCCGGCGAUUUUCGGCCGUUCCUCGCCGCGGGCGUUCCCGUCGCCGAAACGUCUUGCGGAUUUCAAUCCCGCCCGGCGAGUAUCACCGCCGACAAACUCGCGUUUCGGACAAUUGUCCGCCCGGCGCGAACGCACGCCGCGGCGGUUACCGUUGUAUUGCGCGCCGGGUACCGUGUUCGUUUGCAUUAGGACCGUUCGCAAACAAAAUUACAGCGUUUAUUAUUCGCCGCCGCAGUAAUAUUUAUCGGCGCGAACAGAAUAAAUUAACGCACCGCCGCCGACUACGAUUUCAAUAUAAUUACAAUGCUGUUCGGCGGAAUGCGUAACCGCGCAGUAUUAACACGGCGGUUCGUUUGCUGCCCGAGAGAAGGCGUUUAUUGCCAAUGUUUUUUUUUUUUUUUCUGUAAUCCUUCGAUCGGUUCGACAAUCGCUCUAAUUUAAGAUUUUCGAUUGCGGUAAUUUGCUUUCGGUUUUCUACGUCCGCCGCGAUUAGCUCCGUGCAAGUCACAAGGGCCGCGCAAAACCAAGAGAGAAAAAACAAUCAAAAGCGAAACAUUUCGGACUACUCGAGUUUUGCGGACGGCAAUACGCUUUUGACUAUAGUCGUUCUGAAAUGGCGUAAAUUAACAGAGGGUACUGAGACGGUACGUUGAACGAAUCGGGCGUUAUUUGAAGACGAUUUUUGUACUACAAAUGAUCGACGGGGGAAAAUUUAAUAUCGGGUCGAAUGAAGAAUCGAGGAUGUCGAAUUGAGGUACCGGUUUUGUAAGAGAUACGGGGAGCGGCGGUAUAAAAUGGACCGGGCCCUGUACGGAGAUCGGAGGAGAUACCGGGGGACAUAACAAGUUGAAAACCGAUCACAGAACGACCCGAACGACGGUGGUCAGAUAGCAUAACGAGAGAUCUUUGGAUGAUUCCGGGGCAGAGAACGCAGAAGAAAUAUCAACGGACGGGGAAUAACGAAGGCAUGUUUUUGUUUAACAAUCUUCGGUAUGCCCGAGAUUAAGAAGAAACUGAUCGGCACAAAUUUAGACAAGCAAACGUAAAAUUAUCCUAAUUGUCGAUCAAACUAGAAAACGGCGAUACGUGUCGGAAAUUGUAAAGACAACGACCGAGGUGUAUCACGAGGUGCAAUGUGCAACAUACAUCAUACGAACGUCAGACGAGAACCGAUAACAUCUCUGUUGCCGUCACGCGUCGCCGUUACGAAAAAAAAAACAUCACGAAUAAAAAUUGUUUUUAUUAUUUUUUUUUUUUUUUUUUUUUUUUUUUUAGUAGGUACAGUUUUUAUUUAUAUUUCAAUUCGUACAAAUGAAAAAUGUUUAAAAAAAAUUAUUUAUACAGGUAUACAAAAAAUAAACAAUAUUCAAACGACGGCGGCGGUGGCAGCGGCGCAGUGACGGUGGCGAAAUGAAACUUUGUUGCUCCGGGGAUUUUUUUUUUUUUUUUUUUUUCUCUGAAGAGGAAAAGUUGCUCGCAUAAAUGGACUAUGAUGGGGACGGUAGAGGACGAGAAGAUAGAUGAAAAUGAAUAAUAAUAAUGAUGACAUAAAAAAAUUGUUUCGGAAACUUUUUCUUAUAUUAUACUCGAGCAUAAUUAUUUAGGAAGCACGUAUAGUGUGGUACUACAGUAGUUGUGGUUGUGGUGACGGUGGUGGUGGUUGUGGUGGUGUCCCACAUAAGAAAAAAAAAAAAUAAUAAUAAUAAUAUCCACAGCCAGCCAUUGUUGGUGAAUAUUGAUCGAGUUCGUGAACGAAAAAAAAAAAAUAAAGAAAAAAAUAACACCCACCAUUUUUUUUUUUUUUUUUUUUUUCUUACACUGCGUUUAUCAUUGGCGUUUUAUCUUUUGCCGGUGCUGCGUGAUUCUACGCGACGACGACGAUGACGCGGAAAAUAAAUAUAAAUAAAUACAAGUGCAGUGCAGCGCAGAAACGCGUACACCGCCGCGCACGAGAAUAAAAUUUACACGCUGCAAUUUUCAUAAAUUAAUAAUACUGUUCGUACUACCGCAGCGGUUAAAACGCCGCGCUUUGAAAUUGAAAAUUAACGCGCACUUGUGCGUGUUAUCAUACACAUUUUUCCGUACGAAAACUUGAACGGAACGCGUAUAAUAUUCAUUGUUUACAAUUAUGAUGGUUGUUUUUUUUUUUUUUUUUUUUCUUCUACGGCCUAUUACACCCAUCGGUUGUUGUUAUUAAUCGAAUCGGAAAAAAAAAAAAUAAAAACGUAAUUUGUCCAACAUUAUGUUGUUCACUCGUUCUACUAUUUUAUACCACUCGCACGUUGUUAUGAUUAGGGUUCGGACGAUGUUUGCGAAAUUGCAUAUUUUUUUUUCCGUUUAUCCAAUUCGAUUCACGUUUUCCACGGAAUCAAAUAACACUAUUUUUUUUUUUAUUUUGCAUAUCUUAUGGUUUUGUAUUUUAAAUGCACGUGCAGUAGAAGCCGUUUAUUAGGAACACGGGUAAUUGACACGAUCGCGUUAUCGAAACAAAAUUUAUUGGGACGGACCGGUCGUAUAUUGAAACCGAUCGUUUAUUAGAAACAAUCGGUUAAUUGACGCGUUUCACCUCGGUCCCAAAGCGUACGUAAUAAACGGCGUCUACUGUGUUCACGGAUUUUAUGAACACAAACGCAUAUUUCAGUACAUUUUCGAACUUUAUUGUAAACUAAUACGUAAUAAUAAUAAUAAAUGAAAACAAAUACUAUAAAAAAAAUUAAAUACUUAUGGAAAUACAUUUUUUUUUUUUUUUUUUGUGCAUAUUUCGGCGUUUUUUUUUUUCUAACUAAAAACGCACGUUUUGUAAUUUUUUAACGCAUACACGCGUGCAUAGUAUCACGGUUAUUUUAACCGCGCAAAACCCCCGAACCCCCGUUGCCUGGUCACACUACGUUAUCACCGUACUUGAGCGUACCGGGCGUUGAAAAUGAAAUGAAUAAAACGAUAUUUCACGUUGCGUUACGUUGUUGUCGAUAUCCCCGCGUAUUCAUUUGGUUUUUUUCCCGUGUUUACACGCAUAAUGCUUUUGUUUUUUUUUUUUAUAUAUUUUCAUUCGUGCGCUGGCGCCAAUAUUGUUGCGAGUAGCCGGGUACGCACGCACGCGGAUUUCAAAUGUGUGCGCGCGCGUUCUACUUUUUCGCGUACAACAAUGGAAAAAAAGCGUGCGCACUCGAGAUUCGCGUUGACGCGACCGUGCGUUAUCGCGUGUUUUUCAUUAAGCCCGCGCAUCACAUUGCGCGGCGCGUUAUUGUUCAACAUUACGUUACGAUGACUUUCUAUCGGACAAUUAUCGCAUUUCGAUUGUUAUAAAAAACGCGGCCGCGAGUUCCGAUCGUGCGCGCACCGGCGCUAUCGUAUUAUACCGGCGGCGGCCGUAACCGGGCAGAAGUGGCGUCGCCCUCCCCCCCCCCCGGCGGCGUGCGUUCGGGUCCGCGACAAGCCGGUACCGGUUCGCCCACUCGGACCGGGGACCCCAGACCCGCCGCCGAUCGGUCCGGUACGGUGCGCGUGCACCGGAGCGACGAGAACCGUCGAGAAGCGGAUUUGACGAAUUCGGUACGGCCGCGUGUUUUUUCACUCCGGGUAUUUCCCGGCUACACGCGGAGUGCGGUACACAGAGAUCGCGGCUGCGGUUCACACGGCGGGAGGACGACGUUCCGAAAUAAUAAUAAUAAAAAAAAGGAAAAAAGUAAAAAAAAAAAAAGAACCCGUCGGCCGACAGUAAUAACAAUGUAAUCUCAAAGAGAUUAUAAUAAUAACGCGCGUCGGGACGCGGACCAAACGUACCCGCGCGUAGUAUCCGCGCGCGGAAAUGUUCGCGACAAGUCCGCAAGUAUAUUUCAGCGCUGCUGCGAGUAUAUAUUAUUCUGCAAUACAUACAUACAUAUAUAUAUAUAUAUAUAUACACGAUGUAUACGUGUAUUUAUUAGGCGGGGAGGGUCGGUUAUAUAGGGGUUUCGGCGCCGCCGCCGCCGCCGCGCGAGUGGUAAUUAAUUUAAGCAAAUUAUCGCGCGCUCAACCGCCGCCGCCGCCGCCGCGCCGCAUCCCCCUCGCUCACUCCCCCUCCCCCCUCUUCCCCCACCAAACCCCUCCAUCGUUCGGCGGCUCCGCGAACGUACGCUCCGCCGCCGCCGCCGCGGACACCACCGCCGUCGUCGUACGCGCGAUCCCUGCUGCGGUCCCACCGCCGCCGCCGCCGCCGGUGUAAACAAGGAAGCUAUAACGCGGGGUCCACUCCGCCGCCCCACCCCGGCGCACGUCCCGCGACCCGUCCCUUUGUGUUUAGACCGUCCGUUCCCCGUGCCCGUCCCUGCCGCGCCGUACCCCUCCUCGCCAGUCACUGCCCGCCGUCGCCCGCGCGCCGCCGCCGACGCCGACCGCCCGCCCGACGACCAAUGGGCGAACGGGGUACGCGCCGACCGGGAUUUUGAUCAUCGGCCGAGAUGUAUGCAUAUUCAUGAGGCCACUCCUCCCGGCGUCCGCGUCCGUGUCGUCGUCGCCGUCGUCGCCGCCGUCGUCGACGACGGCGACGACGGCCGGGCGGAGGAGCUUUUAUACGGUUUUCGCCGUAGUGGUUCUCAAAAUCGUAUCGCGGUACGCCGCCGGCCCGUCAUAAUAAUACCGUAUUGGCCGCGGAACGAAAGAGGAAUUUCGAAAACGUUUCCGCGCGCUUUUUAGUAACCGAACACAAGCGGUUUCCCCUCCCCCCACCCCGGAAAACCGUACGCGGAAACCGCGCGAGACCCGUCGGUCGGGUCAGGUAGAUAAGGGGGGGUUUUAUCGUUGUUUUUUUUUCGCGCGGUGCGGAACGGCUACGUAUAAAAAUAUGUCGAAAUUGUACACUUAACGGUUUUUAUUACUGUGUUUCACGCCGCGCAGUUGUUGCGAUCCAAUCGCUUGACAAGAUAAUAAUAAUAUACCCGCGUCCGAGUGCGGCGUACCCGUUCGAUACGCACGUAGCGGGAUAAUUAAAAUCCCACGGUCGGUCGAAACGCGUGCGGUGUAAAAUAAUAUUAUAGACAAAACACCGUAUGGGUACGCGAUAAUGUGCAUCGGAAUAAUAUAUUCCGGUUUUUAAAGAGCGCACGCGGUAUCUGCUGUUGUGUACAUUAUAUCGCAUCGGCGAUCUGAAAAAAAAAUAAUAAUAAUAAAAUAAAUAUAUCACAAAAAUAUUGUGUGCGUUGCGCUCACCUACGAUCGUGCGAUCCGGCCGUGUGCGCGCGUGAAGCAUAAUGUGUUGUGGUGAAAACGGCCAUAUGUGUCGCAGAAACGGAAACGCGUCGAAUACAUAUUUAAUACGACAGUAUGCACGGUUCGGUACUUGUGCGGCGGCGGCCACUUAAAACGACGGAAAAGCGUUUGAAAAAAAAAAAAAAAAAAAAAACUUUACCGCGCGCCUUUAAAAAUCUUAAUAAGCCUUUUUAAGCGCCGAAACAAACACUGUCGACAUCCGUUCGAAAAAAGCACAGAAGAAAAAAAAACAACAAACAUUUAAUACAAGUCGGGUAAUGGAAUACAAAGACGAAAUUAUAUUUUAAAAUUACAGGAAGCGAAAGAGUCUGGGUUUUCGCCACUGGGGUUCGUAACCACAAGAGUACAAGAUAUGCAAUAAGACUUGGUGAAAAUCGUUAUUAUUUUUUUGAAUUUUCAUUUAAUUAUCGAAACAAGCAAACAAAACUUGGCACGAUGGACGGACCACUGUUGUGGGCGAGGAGUUGGGAGGGUAGGGGAGAAAUGUAUUGUAUAUCUGUACGCAUUGCUGAAGAAAUACGAUUUUUUCCGUUUUUCCUACGUAUUUCAAAAAACGACCCCCUCAAAGAUGUCCACUACCCAGUCAGAUUUCCCUUCGGGUACGCUCGCGGAGCGGAGCCGAAUCUCUGGUGGAAAAUUAAUUCGCGGGGAAAAAAAAAAAAACGAACGCCGUUGUGAAACCAAUACACAUUUCUCGCUCCGCUCGGAAUCUAAAACGCACUUUUUGAAUUUUACAUUUGAACUCGCCGUUGUAACGCGGAAUAAAUGUAUUCCACGUCCGUCCGCGCCGUAGAUUUCAAUACGGAACCAAAAAUAACCGAAUGAAAUGUACACAAACAAACGUUCCGGACCGAUGGAAACAUGUCGCAUAUUAUACCGGGUGCGCUAAAUAACGGUACACAGUUACGUGCAUUUUUGGCACCAAUGUGCUACGCGCAUAUAGAUAUCAUAUAUAUAUAUAUGUAUAAUAUAGUCGGUCUCGGGGUUUUCUCUUUCGCUCGUUUCGCGUAUAAGACAGCCCCUAAGUACGGUACACAGUAUCGUUAAGGAGAAAGGGGCGGGUGGGGAUGUUUAUAUAUAAAUAUAUAUAUAUAUAAGUAUGUAUAUACGUAGGAGAGGGACGAAAAUAAAAUAAAAAAAAAAAAAAAGAACCAACGAACGGCGACACGCGCGCGCACACACACGCGCACACACGCGCACUAUCGUGUAUAUAUUUUACCGCCAUGAAAUCCCAACGCGCGUGAUAACGUUUUCCUUAUACACACACACCACGCACAGGAUAUAUGCGUACAUAUGAACGCGGUAUAGCGUAUAUUCCCAUCGGAUACACGUGCGUAAAUGUAUACGUACGUAUAGAUAUAUGGACGCAUCGAGACCGGAAAUGCAAAACUUCCCUCUUCCGGCGUCGACGUGUACCUAAAAAUCCCGUGGCUCGGCGCUCGCGGCGAAAUUCUAUAUAAAAUACGACGCGAUGAUCGCGCGAUUUUCCGGCAUUGCGUCACGACGACGACGGUGAUAAAAAAAAAAAAAAAAAAAAACACCAAAGCUUUUGGUCGGUGUGAUUUCCCGGCGAUAUAUAAAAAGAAUAUUACAAGACAGUAAGAGACCAGGCGCGUUUACAAAAUAAUAUUCCGGGGGCGGGUGGGGGGGAAGGGCUAAGGUUGUACACUUUCGUGCUCUUAUAGCAAAGGAGUUUACAUAUACUUUCGACUGUAGCAUUUUUUUUUAUUUUCCGUUGAAAAUGUCAAUGUUUUAUAACAUAAAUUUUCGGCCUUUUAGGUAUAGCUAUCGCUGAAUUUUACAUUCGAUAUUUUUUUUUAGCGAACGCAGCCCAACCGUUACCGUAAUUCGUAUUAUCGCGGUAAUAAUCUGGUUUGUGCAAUUUCGCCGUUAUCGGUUGUAGUUUUCUAAAAGCGGGAAACCCACAAAAAAAAAAAAAAUUAGAAACGAUAACAAUAAUCCACACAUACAAAAUCCAAAUACCACUGACCGACUGACCGAUCGCGCCGCAUCACAAAAACCACCGUAACGUACGGACUCGAAAUUUGGAUUAUAGGUUUUUCUCGUAUUUUCGCCGCGCGUUAAUGAGGGAUUUUCAAAAAAAUGUUGCGUUUCAGUGGAGUAAUUAACAAUUAUGUUAACUGUUCACCGCCGAUACGUAUCGCGCGGCACGGCGGCCCGCGGGUCUCCCGGUCGGCUACCACGCGACCCGUCCUUUUUGUUCGUCGUCGUCGUCGUGUAGACAAGAACAACGAUUCCGAGUAUAAAAUUGUUCCGAGAAGUUUAUCGAUAAAAACAAAUUUAUUUAGAUGUUAGGUUAUUACGCGUAUUGCGACGAUAAUUAUGAAUAUAAGACGGCAAAUGGUAAUGCGUACGGCGUUAUCUAAUUUGUCACGAAUCUGUUUCCGGGCCACGCCGGGUAAUUCGGCUGGUAACAAUAAACACGCCCAAUACCUAAAUAUCCGUUGACAAAAUAAAAAUAAAACCGAAAUCGUAUUUAGUUUCCUCGUCGGCGCGGUCACCGCUCUCGAGACGACUCUAUUAAAAAUCCACGUUUUCAUCGUAAUUCCCGCGAAAUCUCGACGGGGUCGAACGCCAAACGCCCGUCCCCUUGUACGCGUUUCCGCGGGACACCGCGUGCCCCGUGCGUACGACAAUGUUGACGUGUAGCGUGAAAAUCCCGCGUUUUAUACGGCCGCGGAGACGACGACACGCGCGUGUCACGGCGGUAAACGUCGCGAGAUCAUUUACACUUAGUCGUUUCGUGCGGUUCGUUUCAAUAUUAUAAGAGGUAUACUAGUGCGGCGGCCUAUUUGUCAGGCGCAAAUGUGAGAGAGUAUUGUUUGCGUUCGGGUUUUUUUUUCGAUAUUUUAAUUUUCCGUCGAGAUCGAGGGGAUGGUUUUGAAAUCGCAACGUUUCAGCGCACGUCCGUGGCGCGCUCGAAAAUCAAAACGCCGAGAGAGAGAAAAACAACGAACGCGCGCAAAACAAUGUUCUUGUCUUCGGGCGCGAUAACGGGGCAAACGCGCGCUAACGUUAAGACGGCCGUAACGCCGUAACGCGUGCUGCAAAAAAAAAAAAAAAAAAACCUAUNNNNNNNNNNNNNNNNNNNNNNNNNNNNNNNNNNNNNNNNNNNNNNNNNNNNNNNNNNNNNNNNNNNNNNNNNNNNNNNNNNNNNNNNNNNNNNNNNNNNCCCCUCCCCCCCCCCCCACCCACCCACCCGCGAGGACGUCCGAGUAACGUCCGUCCUCCGACGGUCGAUUUCCGCGAACGACCGCGCGCGAACGUCAAUUAUUACCGACAGCCGUACCCGACGUGCGGCGGACGUACGCGGCCGAGACAACCGCGAAAUCGGGAACCCUGCGUGUGCGCUGACGCGGAUCGCACGGCUCCCGCGAACGAUAAUCGCCCCUCGCCAACGCCGUCGGACUGCCGCUCGCGCUCGAACGACGCCGUAACGAAACAACCGUCGCCGGGUGCCGGCGGUCGCGCCAGAUCCGUCCGCGCGCGACGGUCGAACGGCUCACAAGAGCGGCCCGGACGUUCGGAACCGUCCGCGGCCGGACAAUUGAAACCGUCCGCGGCCGGCCGGCAGAAGACCGCGAUCGCCGCGGUCACGGUUCCGGCCGUUUACGGGGCGAAUCGCAAUACGCCGCGCGAGUUCGCCGUCGCGUGAACUUCACCGCGGACGGUUACGGUCUAUACGCGUUCGCCGUGCGUCUCGAGUAUACGCGGGCGACCGGUGUCCGGUCCGCACAAAACCGCGGGCGUUGGAAAAAUCCGCGUACGCGCGCGCGCCGUUCGCGGACAGCGUGUCCGAGCGUGUAGAUUACGCGCGCGUUUUUUUUUUUCGUUCAAGCGUAGACGGAUUCGGCGGUCGCGCACAGUGUUAAUACGCGAUUUCAACCGAGACCGUCACUGCGCGCGCGGACACGGCGCGUACGAAACGCAACGUAUCGCGAUCGUUGAAAUCAAUAAUUUCGACGUUUCGUCGUCGAACCGAUCGUUUUUCGGCGCGUAGACCAUUUAAAUUCUCGUUUUCCUCACAGCCGCGCAAUCGGCUAAUAUCGGUAAUAUCCGCGGUGCGCGCGUUCAACGGCGUUUCCAGGAGAGGUUAUUGGUAUUGUACACACACACACACACCCCCCCCCCUCAUCCAUCCGUCGUCAUUGUUUUAGUUUUUAGUUUUGGGUAACGGUGAGAAACGUUUGGAUCCCCGAACCUCCCAGAUCCCCUCGCUUCCGCCCCAUUCCCGUUUACUCCGCUGCGGCGGGUGUUUCGUAUCGAUACAAAUGUUAUUCGCCUCUGUCACGUUUAAAUCCGCGUGUCCGUGAUAAAUCUAAAAUAUUAUUAUGCGUUUCCCCGAUAUUAUUUUAAUCAACAGUGUUGCAUAUUGUACUAUUAAUAUACGCCAUACGUUAUUCGUUGUAUUUAUUUUUUCAGAUUUGUCGAUUCGAUGCUGACCACUACAUAAAACACCUACUUAAUAAGCGUCACAAUUUAAGAACAUCGCUUUCUACAGUUCGAAUACAUUAGAAAUCACAAAAGAAACAUUUAAACUAAACCACAGUCAAUCACUUUAUCAUGACGGUCAUAACAAUCGCCGAAAUUAUGGAAUUAUUAACGUCGAACUCGUUGCGAUAGAACGUGUAGAGCAAUCUGCGGUCCUGCGUAAAAUGGCAGACCGGGCACAUACGGAGAAUAAAUUAAAAUCGGGAAUCGGAGGAAGAAACGAAUUCGGCACCUAUCACCAGUUUUGUAAAUUUGUAUAUUUGUAUAUUUAUUCGUGUUUUUCAAUUACGAGUCAUAAUAGGUAACGGAAAUUUAGACAAGCGGGAAUUGCACACCUCCUAUAAGCUUUCAAGCUUAUAAAAAAGCUAAAGCACAAGCUUUAGCUUGUGUCGGAGGUGUAGUUUUUAAAGUCAAGUUUGUAAACGGCCAACGAAUUCAAUGGCUUGGGCCGUAUUACGCGCAGAAAUUAGAAGGAGACGCUUAAAUCAGUACUGGAAUGAAAACCAGCUACGGGGAAGAGACCUUGUGGGAGAUCUAUGAGGAAACGGAUGGAUUAGACAGAAGAUCUCAACAAGUUAAAAGUGCAAGAAUAGACGGCGUUAUCACAACGCAGAAUAAAGUGAAGAAAAAUUGUGAUGGCGGCGAAAACCCUGAGAGAAUAUCAAAUGCCAACAGAAGACGAUGAAGAAUAAGAAGAAUUUACAUCCGGAGUAUAUAAAUAAAUCAAUUUUUUUUUUUUUCGCGUUUUCGAGCAUGUUCAAUGUUAAAUUCUUAUCAUGGAAUUUGUAUGAUACCGGAAAUAUACGAAUAUAUGUAAACGUGAAGCUCUUACGUGUAAUAUGUAACCGACAAUACGAACCUAACCAAACCGCACGUUAACACACUUGAAAUUGAAAGUGUAUUCGUUCCUAACGUACUGACUUUAUGUUCGAGCAAUAUGCGCGCAUAAUAAAUAUAAAAUUAAAAAAAUUAAAACGUCUCGAAAUGUACGUUAACUGAAAAUUUAGAUUCAAUAAUGAUUAUUAGUGCGCAUUGAAUGUGCCCAUGAAUAUACGCAAUAUCUCGUAUGAUGAUAUCUACAUCAGUUGGUUGUAGGUGAUGAUCGUUUGUCUGUCUGUGCGCUAUUCACGGUCGAAUUUAGCGCACGCAUACGCCCGUCAAUUUACUUACAGAAGCGGAUAGCGAUUACACAUGAACGAGUGCACCCCGAAGCCGGAUUUCCGAAUUUCGUCCCCUAUAUAAAGGGUGGCUCGCGCAAGACUUUUCGGCAUUUUCGGUACGGAUAUUUUAGAUUCGGAGCGUGGCGAAGGAUCGAUUGGUUUUAUUAUUAUACAUGUAUUUAUUUAUUUUUAUUUUUUUUUUUUCAUUAUAAUUUGUUGUUUACUUCGGU
rnacentral:lncRNA from 1 species